rnacentral:tRNA from 1 species
AUUAAAGUGGCAGAUUUAAUGCGAGGAAUUUAAGCUUCCUAAAUGAAUUUUCCUUUAGUA